rnacentral:rRNA from 1 species
ACCGCGAGGUAGAGCAAAUCUCAAAAAGAACAUCUCAGUUCAGAUUGCAGGCUGCAACUCGCCUGCAUGAAGUCGGAAUUGCUAGUAAUCGUAGGUCAGCAUACUACGGUGAAUACGUUCCCGGGCCUUGUACACACCGCCCGUCAAACCAUGAGAGUUGGAGAUACCCGAAGCCUGUGAGCUAACAAACGAGGCAGCAGUCGAAGGUAGAAUCAAUGAUUGGGGUGAAGUCGUAACAAGGUAAC